rnacentral:precursor_RNA from 15 species
UAUCAUCUUGCUACCAUCCCUUCCAACAGCCCCUCUUGGAUAAGGCUCUUUAUUUGUUUUCUGUCAUAGUAAGGACCUUAUCCGUAGAGACUGUUGGCAUGGAAAUUUCCAGCCAAAACAAC